CCUACGGGUGGCUGCAGUCGAGGAUCUUCCGCAAUGAGCGCAAGCUUGACGGAGCGACGCCGCGUGGAUGAUGAAGGCCUUCGGGUUGUAAAAUCCUGUCGAGGGGGAUCAAAGCGCAAGCUUGAGUGAUCCCUGGAGGAAGCUCGGGCUAAGUUCGUGCCAGCAGCCGCGGUAAGACGAACCGAGCGAACGUUGUUCGGAAUCACUGGGCUUAAAGGGCGCGUAGGCGGCUUAUCAAGUCAGGGGUGAAAUCUUGCGGCUCAACCGUAAUAAGCCUUUGAUACUGAUAGGCUCGAGGGAGGUAGGGGCAUGUGGAACUUCUGGUGGAGCGGUGAAAUGCGUUGAUAUCAGAAGGAACGCCGGUGGCGAAAGCGACGUGCUGGAUCUCUUCUGACGCUGAGGCGCGAAAGCUAGGGUAGCGAACGGGAUUAGAUACCCUU
rnacentral:rRNA from 1 species